UACGAAGGGGGCUAGCGUUGUUCGGAUUUACUGGGCGUAAAGCGCACGUAGGCGGAUAUUUAAGUCAGGGGUGAAAUCCCGGGGCUCAACCCCGGAACUGCCUUUGAUACUGGGUAUCUCGAGUCCGAGAGAGGUGAGUGGAAUUCCGAGUGUAGAGGUGAAAUUCGUAGAUAUUAGGAAGAACACCAGUGGCGAAGGCGGCUCACUGGUCCGGUACUGACGCUGAGGUGCGAAAGCGUGGGGAGCAAACAGG
rnacentral:rRNA from 1 species